GCUCUUUGUCACACACACACGCACACAUACAUGGAGGCAUCGCAGAUCCCGCUGGAUGCUUUGGUUCACUGUGAGCCAAUUUCGGCCACUCAGUGACUCUGCGACUUGCGCAAUGGAAAGAUUGCUGGAAAUCCGUCUGAUUUCGCAGCUUUUUGUAUUUAGCAUUUUAAUGUAAGAAUUUUAAUGUUUUCUCCAAGAGAUGCUCACAGUUUUGUCGUGUUCAAUGUUGGUUUUUCCAACUUUUCCUCCUGUUUUCUAUGACAUAGUGCUACAUACUUGUUUCUAGCCUGAAGAUGGCAAUUAAAUAUAUUGCCGAAACGUCGCUAGUGAACAGAA